rnacentral:misc_RNA from 1 species
UUUCCGUAGGUGAACCUGCGGAAGGAUCAUUAAUGAGAACUAAGGGUAGUAGUCUCGGCUAUUACUCUGAACACUCCACCCUUUGUUUAUAUUACCUUUGUUGCUUUAGCAGGCCCGCUCUCGAGCCGCCGGCACCUGCUGGCUAGUGCCUGCUAAAGAAUCUAAAACUCUUGUUAAUAAUAUUGUCUGAGUACUAUAUAAUAGUUAAAACUUUCAACAACGGAUCUCUUGGUUCUG